GGAGGUCGGCCGCGGACGAACCGCUCGCUAACCCGGUCAGGUCCGGAAGGAAGCAGCCGCAACGAGUUUGUUCGGGUCGCGCGUCCGGCCUUCCAC
rnacentral:SRP_RNA from 1 species